rnacentral:rRNA from 1 species
AGCGGGCUAUACAUGCAAGUCGAGCGGACAGAAGGGAGCUUGUCCCGGAUGUUAGCGGCGGACGGGUGAAAACAGGGGUAACCUGCCUGUAAGACUGGGAUAACUCCGGGAAACCGGAGCUAAUACCGGAUAGUUCCUUGAACCGCAUGGUUCAAGGAUGAAAGACGGUUUCGGCUGCACUUACGAUGGACCCGCGGCGCAUUAGCUAGUUGGUGAGGUAACGGCUCACCAAGGGACGAUGCGUAGCCGACCUGAGAGGGUGAUCGGCCACACUGGGACUGAGACACGGCCCAGACUCCUACGGGAGGCAGCAGUAGGGAAUCUUCCGMAAUGGACGAAAGUCUGACGGAGCAACGCCGCGUGAGUGAUGAAGGUUUUCGGAUCGUAAAGCUCUGUUGUUAGGGAAGAACAAGUGCAAGAGUAACUGCUUGCACCUUGACGGUACCUAACCAGAAAGCCACGGCUAACUACGUGCCAGCAGCCGCGGUAAUACGUAGGUGGCAAGCGUUGUCCGGAAUUAUUGGGCGUAAAGGGCUCGCAGGCGGUUUCUUAAGUCUGAUGUGAAAGCCCCCGGCUCAACCGGGGAGGGUCAUUGGAAACUGGGAAACUUGAGUGCAGAAGAGGAGAGUGGAAUUCCACGUGUAGCGGUGAAAUGCGUAGAGAUGUGGAGGAACACCAGUGGCGAAGGCGACUCUCUGGUCUGUAACUGACGCUGAGGAGCGAAAGCGUGGGGAGCGAACAGGAUUAGAUACCCUGGUAGUCCACGCCGUAAACGAUGAGUGCUAAGUGUUAGGGGGUUUCCGCCCCUUAGUGCUGCAGCUAACGCAUUAAGCACUCCGCCUGGGGAGUACGGUCGCAAGACUGAAACUCAAAGGAAUUUGACGGGGGCCCGCACAAGCGGUGGAGCAUGUGGUUUAAUUUCGAAGCAACGCGAAGAACCUUACCAGGUCUUGACAUCCUCUGACAACCCUAGAGAUAGGGCUUUUCCCUUCGGGGACAGAGUGACAGGUGGUUGCAUGCUUGUUCGUCAGCUUCGUGUCGUGAAUUUGGGUUUAAGUUCCCGCAACGAGCGCACCUUUGAUUCUUAGUUGCCCAGCAUUCAGUUUGGCACUCUUACGUUGACUGCCGGGUGACAAACCGGAAGGAAGGUUUUUG